rnacentral:rRNA from 1 species
AGUGAACCGGGAAGAGCUCAAAUUUGAAAUCUGGCUGUCUUCGAUAGUCCGAGUUGUAAUCUAUAGAAGCGUUUUCCGUGCUGAACUGUGUCUAAGUCCCUUGGAACAGGGUAUCAAAGAGGGUGACAAUCCCGUUCUUGACACAAUCAUCAGUGCUCUGUGAUACGUUCUCUAUGAGUCGAGUUGUUUAAUA